AGCAGCCGCGGUAAUUCCAGCUCCAAUAGCGUAUAUUAAAGUUGCUGCAGUUAAAAAGCUCGUAGUUGAAUUUCGGGACCAUCAUGUCGGUCGUGCCUCGGUACGUACUGGCAUUGUUGGUUUCUCCCUUCUGACGAACCAUGAUGUCAUUUAUUUGGUGUCGUGGGAAAUCAGGACUGUUACUUUGAAAAAUUAGAGUGUUUAAAGCAGGCUCACGCUUGAAUACAUUAGCAUGGAAUAAUGAAAUAGGACGUUUGAUUCUAUUUUUGUUGGUUUCUAGGAUCGACGUAAUGAUUAAUAGGGAUAGUUGGGGCAUUAGUAUUCAAUUUGUCAGAGGGUGAAAUUCUUGGGAUUUAUUGAAGACUAACUACUGCGAAAGCAUUUGCCAAGGAUGUUUUUCAUUAGUUCAAGAACGAAAGUUUAGGGGAUCGAAAGACGAUCAGAUACCGUCGUAGUCUUAACCCAUAAAACUAUGCCGACUAGGGAUCGGAUGAUGUAAAAUUUUUAAAUGACUCA
rnacentral:rRNA from 1 species